AUGCUUUUAUUGAAAAUAUUUUCCCAACGAAUGGAACAUUUAUUAGCAGUGACAUUUCAGCCGGCCGCCAGGAACUCUCCGCAAUUAACUACAGAAACUAAGGCAAUAAGAGCAAUAUUGCUUCAGGAAAUUCCCCCAUAUGUGGUUCGAUGAAAGCACGAUUCAACAUAAAGAGGAGGUUUCAGUCUUUGAGUCAAUUAGGGUCUUGCCCGUACCGGACUUUCCCUUAGUAAAGGCUACAAUUUUCAACCCUUAACGGGGAUGGAGAGUAUAUCUGCAAGAAGUGUACAGAACAGCAAUCGAUGCAAUGAGUUGCAUUGUUGAUACGUUAUAAAUUCUUUUGACUUAUUCCUUUAUUUGUUGAACAUGCUGCAGAGAUUUGUGAUGAAGCCAAUUUAGGUGGUAGGUCAUGAAGUUCUACCCUCCUCUGUCUGUUGAUUUCUAUCUAAUCAGUUCUCUAGUAUGCCUCCUCUUUUGCUUAAAUUGUGUUAAGUCUCUUUCUUGUUUAUUUGUUCAAAUUUCUCUUUAUAUUCUUCUUCAUUACCUGGUUUUUUCUC